UUAUAAAAGAGUGACGCUCUGAUGGUGAAUUGAUGUGAUGUCGUGAUGAAGCUGCGCUAAUCUGAAGUGAUGGUGUGCGUCUACAAAAUCGGUAGGUGAUGCUGAAUGAUGAUGAAGAAGUUGAUGUCCACGCGAACCCAAAGAGAGAGAUGAUCAAGACAUCCGUGCGAUGUCCAGUUUGCACGAAAGAUCGAAACGGUGUUGUUAUGAUCCUCAGAUGCUCCUCGAUGCGUGUGGUUUAGAGUUGCAGGCGGUGUUCGAGAUGGCGAUGAACCAAUGCGUGGUCUGGUGCCUGAUCCGGAGACGCAGCGUUGAUGAACUGUUGUGGGCGCAAGAAUGGUGAUACGUGGGUCUGAUGACUCCUCUCUCAGAUCCAAUAGGGGUGAUGCCGACAGAAAUCUUGCUUCUGCCGGAGACUGUCGCUGUGUCAAUCUCCUCCACUCGGAACUGGUGAUGAUGGUCGAUAGCAGUGAUCUCCUCCAACUGGAUCCGUGACGCAGUCCCCUAUGAAAACUUUUGUCUCAAGAUCGAUCCUCCGCUCUCUGUUUCUUUCUUUUCCGGCAUCCCCGAAAGAUGAAAGAUGAAAAACCUCCAGAAUUCGUCGUACAGUCCCUAAAGCUUAGAUGAAAACUUCUCUCUCGAGAUCGAUCCUCCCCUCUCUGUUUCUUUCUUUUCCGGCCAAAAGAUCCCCAAAAGAUGAAAGAUGAAAAACCUCCAGAUCGAUCCUCACGCCUAGAUGAAAACUUCUCCUCUCUCAAAAUCGAUCUUCCACUCUCUGUUUCUUUCUUUUCCGGCCAGAAGAUGAAAGCCAAAAACCGCCAGAAUUCUCCCUCGGUAUAUGAUGAUCUCUUCAAAGAAAAGUCCAGAAUCCUCUCGAUAUUGCCCUCCAAAGUCGGUGAUAGCUCCCCUCACCAAAAAAUGAAUGACGAAUGAUCCAAAAUGAAUGUGCAGUGAUGGUCUUCUGAUCUGCCGGUGCUGCGCACUCCUGAAGAUAAACUAAUGAAGAUGAACUGCCAAUCAAGAUAGCGUGGCCGUUAUGAUCUUCCCAAUGGUCUUGUACCUCCCCAAAGCUCUGAUGAUCCCGCACCAAUGAAGUGGGAGUGUUGCUGUUGACGAGAACCCUCCAGAAUCUCUCCUAUCCUCUUCAGAAUGCUGAAAAAAAAUCCCUCAAACCAAAUUCGUGAUGAUGAAAUCUGUGAAUCUGCUGUGGAUACGGUCUUGAUGUCGAUGUGAUGCCACUUUUCCAAAAAAAUAAAGAAAAUCUGAAAAGCCGUAAUUGCUCGGAAAAUCUCGAUACCCUAACAAAAAUAAGAGGUAACCUUCGUCCUCUUCACUCUGGUUUCCACUAGCGCCGACGACGGCUCCCACCUCAUGCUCAGAAUAACCCGGAACCCAAAGUAAGCGCGCUCUCUCUUGGGUUCUUUGUUUGGUUACCUAGAAAAUAAUAGUCAAAAUUUUCUUUGAAGGAUUUACUUUUUCCUCUUUGUUCUGUUUUUUCCAUUACUGAGGCUGAGAUCCUUUUCGUUUUUUCUACGACCUUUAGGUAAUUCCUUUCAUUUUCUGGGUUGCUUUCCCCUUUCCCGUUCCUUAAAUUUCCCCAGAAUAUUUCUAAACUUUUCCGGCUUGUUUCGUUAUGGAUUUGGUAUGUUUUUUUACCUAAUUGUCGAUGAUAUUCUUGCUAUUGUUUCUUGGCCAAUUUUUUUUUUAACAAUCCGUGUUAUGGGUUUUUGGGAUUUCUGUUUGGUUGCUGGGAGAGUGGCAGCUAAGAGAAGUAAGCUGAAAGGUGGAACAUUAAUUUUGCCCUUUAACCACUAUUGAUUUGUCUUGAUUUGUUUCUUUUUCUUUAUGAAAUCAAUGUUUGAUCUUUUUCUUCUUGGCAAUUAGUGAGGAUUAUUGUUUGUUCUUUUUCUUUGGGAAUAUGGAUUGACAGAGGAGAAAUAGAGACAAAAAAUAGAAAAAAAAAAAAAAAACAUUGGGAAAAGUAGCCAGAAAAUGGAAACUACAUGGAACCUUUUAGAAGAGAACUCUUAAGGUAAAACGUGUGCGACCUCCCUACAGUGGAGCGGAGAUAGAUGGAUUCGGAUUCGUAGAAAUCUCUUGAAUGUGAGUACCCAAUAAUCUAUUCCAAUUUUUAAAACUUUUGUGCUUCUCAUGGCAUUUUCUCAGGUCCACCCUCCCACAUUCCCAUCAUUUCUUUCUCUUUUUCCCCAAGGAAAAAAAACUCGAUUUCCAUUACUUAUCUUUUUUAAUUCCUCUUGUCGUUGCUGUUUUAUAAAGAACAUAAGGAAGUUUAAUUUGGGAAUUCUUGUAAGACUAAAAGCAAUUCAUUCCAUUUUUUGUAUGCUUAGUGCUUUUGUUACUUUCUAUUUAAUUGAAUUCACAAUAUAUAUAUAUAUAUAUAUAUAUAUACAUCUCCAUGAAUUUAUUUGGCUGUUGCAAAAAUUUUAGGGAAAGAAAAUGUUUAGGUUUUUCGUUUAGAACUUCUCCUCAAAUUGAGCCUAACACCACUCCAUUUGGCUUAGUUGGGUUGAGGUUUCAUUAAAAUUUGUAUUUAUUUAGUUUUUUUCAUUUUCCUUAUUUGUUCUUGGCAACCAAACAGGGUGCAAAGGAAAACAAGUAAUUAUUUAUAAGCUGCCACGAGCUGUUUAAUCCUGUUACCAACCCAUGGUUGCUUGCAAGUUGGCUCAAUUAGUUGUGUCGCUUAGGUUUGCUUGUUAUGUAUCGGCAUGUCUUCUGUUGGAACAAUGUGACUAGUUAACCACACUAGUUUUGGAACAGUGUCUUCCUAAGGAAUAUUUGGGUAUCUUGUUGUGUACAUUCAUGAUAUGUGAAAUGCAUGAAGCAUUGAAAUGGAGCAAUAGACUCCACCAUAUUUUUGGUGAAUAUAAGUGUUUUAUGAUAUAAAGUAUAAGUUAGCCACAUCCAUUUUAUAUAUAUAUUUUUUAAUGCAAUUAACUACUUGAUUUAUGGGAUAAGGCUUUCUUCAGUUGAGUUGUGUUCCUGUGUUUUCCAUAUGCAUAUAAAAUUUUUUACAUGUAUAUCACUAAUUUAUACAUUAUAUUGUAGGUAAUGUUGCUGUUAGAAAAAAAUAAUAAUAAUAGGAUUAGAUGAAAUCAGAGCACCAAAGAGGAUAUUUUAUGAUGAAGUAAUGUUUUGGAAUAUCUUUUGUCUAAUUUUUUUUAAUUAGCUCAUCUUUGAUGUGCUUCAAGUUGCUUGCAUCUUUGAUGUCCAAUUUAUCCUGUUUAUUAUUAAAUGUGGGUUGUUAUCCCUCCACUCAGCCAUUUAUUGUAUAAUAAUGAUCUUGUAUUCUAGCUUAUUUAUCAAUUCAAAUGUGUUAUUGAGUAAAUGAUUCCAAACUUGGGGGUGUCCUUGAAGAAUGAAUCCAACCCCAUGCCAUUAUAUCCUCUAUUUCUGGUAUUUCUAAUAUUCUAAUUCAUGGUUGAUUUAAGAGCACUUUGUGUUGUUAAUCCAAGUUGCAAAGGAAGGUGGUGAAAAUGGAAGGCUAUGAUUGAUGAAGAAGAGGGAAGCAAAGAACCUGAUCGAGAGUUGAUAGAUGAUUAUGAGUACUUUAAGAUGGGAUCCUCUCAACUCAAGUGUUCUGUUUUUACUAAAUUGGGUUUCGAACCCUUGUAAAUUUUGAAUCCUAUUUAACUCAUAGAUGUUUGGAGUUUCUAUAUGUUCAGAAAGAAGUAUAUUCUUGUUAACCAUUUAGCUCACUUUUUGCCUCCUAUAGAAUAUUUUGUUUUCAUUA